GAAGGUGUAUCUAGAAAGACAAAUUAGAGCUUGAAAAAUAAAGCAUUUCAUUUACAUUGAAAAGUAUAUUGUGUAAUUCAAUUUAAUUUGAUAAUAAAAAUUUAUUAAUUUUUUUAGUUUUAAAAAUUAUUUAAUAAAAUUAAUUUUAAAUUAAGUUUUUUUUGUAUAAUAUAUAGAUCAAAUAAUUUAUAUAAUAGUUAAUUAGUAUUGUAAAAGAAUAUUGAAAUAUGUGAAAAAGUUUUAAAUUAAAAGUAAAUUUUGUAUAUUGUACCUUGUGUAUCAGGGUUUAUUAAUUAAAAGUUAAAUAUUUAAUUUUUCUCGAAUUUAGGAGAGUUAAUUUAUUAUUUAAUUUUUUGUUUUAUAAAAAUUUAAAAUAAUAAAUUAGAAAUGAAAUGUUAUUCGUUCUUAAAUAUAUCUAGUUUUUUAAGAAAUAAAUUAAAUUUAGAUUAUUAGUAAAUAAUUGUUUAUUUAAAUAAUAAAUUAUUAUUGAUAAUUAAUAUUUUAAGGGAUAAGCUUUAAAAUAAGUUUUAUAAUAAUUUUUUAAUUUAAAAAUUAUAGAUUUAGAAAUAGUCAUUAAUUAUAAAAAUGUUAUAAUUUAUUUUAAAUUAAAAAUAAUUUUUAUUAAUUUAAGUUUUUAUUAAAAUAAUUUUUAAAAUUAUAUAAAAAUUAAAAUAAUGAUAAAAUUAGUAUAUUUUAAUUGUUUAAAAUAAAUAAAUUGAAAGGUUAAAUUAAGGAACUUGGCAAAUAAAUACUCGCCUGUUUAACAAAAACAUGUCUUUUUGAAUAUAAUUUAAAGUCUAAUCUGCCCACUGAAAAAUUUUAAAGGGCCGCGGUAUU
rnacentral:rRNA from 1 species